rnacentral:rRNA from 1 species
CACGUAGGGGGCGAGCGUUGUCCGGAUUUAUUGGGCGUAAAGAGCUCGUAGGCGGUUUGGCAAGUCGGGUGUGAAAUUUCGAGGCUCAACCUCGAAACGCCACUCGAUACUGCCAUGACUGGAGUCCGGUAGAGGAGUGCGGAAUUCCUGGUGUAGCGGUGAAAUGCGCAGAUAUCAGGAGGAACACCGGUGGUGUAGACGGCUUUCUGGACCGUAACUGACGCUGAGACACGAAAGCGUGGGUAGCAAACAGG